GAUGAACGCUGGCGGCGUGCCUAAUACAUGCCAGUCGAGCGAACAGACGAGGAGCUUGCUCCUCUGACGUUAGCGGCGGACGGGUGAGUAACACGUGGAUAACCCACCUAUAAGACUGGGAUAACUUCGGGAAACCGGAGCUAAUACCGGAUAAUAUAUUGAACCGCAUGGUUCAAUAGUGAAAGACGGUUUUGCUGUCACUUAUAGAUGGAUCCGCGCCGCAUUAGCUAGUUGGUAAGGUAACGGCUUACCAAGGCAACGAUGCGUAGCCGACCUGAGAGGGUGAUCGGCCACACUGGAACUGAGACACGGUCCAGACUCCUACGGGAGGCAGCAGUAGGGAAUCUUCCGCAAUGGGCGAAAGCCUGACGGAGCAACGCCGCGUGAGUGAUGAAGGUCUUCGGAUCGUAAAACUCUGUUAUUAGGGAAGAACAAAUGUGUAAGUAACUAUGCACGUCUUGACGGUACCUAAUCAGAAAGCCACGGCUAACUACGUG
rnacentral:rRNA from 1 species